GGGCAGCUUAAAUAUGAUGAAAUGUUUAGUGAUAGAUUCAUUGAUUUUGGCUAUGCAUAAAAUUGAAUAAUUGAGAGGAAUGAACUCAACGCAUUAUCUCAUAAAUUAGAAAUGGCAAAAGCCAAGGAAAGCGUUCAAAUUAUCCCAGGAGAGGCGUAUGAAUCGGAUGAAGAUGUCGAAGUCUCACACUUCAUGUCUCCUCCAGAUAUAAGAAAGAAACCACUGUUUUUACAAGGAAUUGUGGUUUCGGGUGAAGCAUCAGAAUCAGAUGAAGAGAUAUGUUCAGGUCCAACCAGUGCUUCUUAUGCCACAGGUAAAAUAUUGUAAAUAAAUCAAAUUUUUUCAAUCAGUUAAUUUAAUAUAAAUUUAUGUAAAAUUAAAGAACUUUCUCCUCUUCAAUUUUAUAUCUUCAGAUAAAUU
rnacentral:lncRNA from 1 species